rfam:Otolemur garnettii contig151188, whole genome shotgun sequence.
ACAGUGGUUCUCCUCAGAACCAUUUAUUCAUAUACAAACAUGCCAU